GAUGAACGCUAGCUACAGGCUUAACACAUGCAAGUCGAGGGGCAGCAUGGUCUUAGCUUGCUAAGGCCGAUGGCGACCGGCGCACGGGUGAGUAACGCGUAUCCAACCUGCCUUACACUCUUGGACAGCCUUCUGAAAGGGAGAUUAAUACAAGAUGUUAUCAUGAGUAAGCAUUUUCACAUGAUUAAAGGUUUACCGGUGUAAGAUGGGGAUGCGUUCCAUUAGAUAGUAGGCGGGGUAACGGCCCACCUAGUCUUCGAUGGAUAGGGGUUCUGAGAGGAAGGUCCCCCACAUUGGAACUGAGACACGGUCCAAACUCCUACGGGAGGCAGCAGUGAGGAAUAUUGGUCAAUGGACGAGAGUCUGAACCAGCCAAGUAGCGUGAAGGAUGAAGGUUCUAUGGAUUGUAAACUUCUUUUAUACGGGAAUAAACGGAUCCACGUGUGGAUUUUUGCAUGUACCGUAUGAAUAAGGAUCGGCUAACUCCGUGCCAGCAGCCGCGGUAAUACGGAGGAUCCGAGCGUUAUCCGGAUUUAUUGGGUUUAAAGGGAGCGUAGAUGGGUUGUUAAGUCAGUUGUGAAUGUUUGCGGCUCAACCGUAAAAUUGCAAUUGAUACUGGCAGUCUUGAGUACAGUUGAGGUAGGCGGAAUUCGUGGUGUAGCGGUGAAAUGCUUAGAUAUCACGAAGAACUCCGAUUGCGAAGGCAGCUUACUAACCUGUAACUGACAUUGAUGCUCGAAAGUGUGGGUAUCAAACAGG
rnacentral:rRNA from 1 species